AACCAGGAGACAGGUGCUGCAUGGCUGUCGUCAGCUCGUGUCGUGAGAUGUCGGUUAAGUCCGCUAACGAGCGCAACCCUCGCUGUGUGUUACAAGUGUCACACGGAACUGCCCGGUCAUAAACCGGAGAAGGUGGGAUGACGUCAAGUCAGCAUGGCCUUUAUAUCCUGGGCUACACACACGCUACAAUGGGAAGGGACAAUAGGUUGCGAAGCCGCGAGGCGGAGCCAAUCCAGCAAAACUUCCCUCAGUUCAGAUUGCAGGCUGCAACUCGCCUGCAUGAAGUUGGAGUUGCUAGUAAACGCAGGUCAGCCAUACUGCGUUGAAUACGUUCCCGGGGCUU
rnacentral:rRNA from 1 species